AAUGAAAAAUCAAUGCAUAUGUGAUAAAAUUAAAAAAAAAGUUGAUACAUGAGUAUGAUAUGCAAAAAUGGGAAUUUUGGGUAGUUAGGCAUGAUUUUAGAAGUACAUAGAGUGUGUGUAUAGGUGAAGAGUUUAGGUUAAUUAAAGAUUCAUAUUAUAGCUCACUUGGCCAUACAUAUAUCCUCACCCUUACCUUAGCCCCAUUACAACCCUGAAAAGACCUCAUGAUGUUUGCAUUGGUACAUUAAAUUUUU
rnacentral:lncRNA from 1 species